rnacentral:rRNA from 1 species
UGGGGAAUAUUGCACAAUGGGCGAAAGCCUGAUGCAGCCAUGCCGCGUGUGUGAAGAAGGCUCUAGGGUUGUAAAGCACUUUCAGUAGGGAGGAAAGGUUGAUGGUUAAUACCCAUCAGCUGUGACGUUACCUACAGAAGAAGCACCGGCUAACUCCGUGCCAGCAGCCGCGGUAAUACGGAGGGUGCAAGCGUUAAUCGGAAUUACUGGGCGUAAAGCGUGCGUAGGCGGCUACCUAAGUUGGAUGUGAAAGCCCCGGGCUCAACCUGGGAACUGCAUCCAAAACUGGGUGGCUAGAGUGCGAGAGAGGAGUGUGGAAUUUCCUGUGUAGCGGUGAAAAUGCGUAGAUAUAGGAAGGAACACCAGUGGCGAAGGCGACACUCUGGCUUGACACUGACGCUGAGGUACGAAAGCGUGGGGAGCAAAACAGGAUUAGAUACCCUGGUAGUCCACGCCGUAAAACGAUGUCUACUAGUUGUCGGUUGUCUUGUACGACUGGUAACGCAGCUAACGCGAUAAGUAGACCGCCUGGGAGUACGGCCGCAAGGUUAAAACUCAAAGGAA